rnacentral:rRNA from 1 species
UACGUAGGUGGCGAGCGUUGUCCGGAAUUACUGGGCGUAAAGGGCGCGUAGGCGGAUCGUUAAGUUGGACGUGAAAUACCCCGGCUCAACUGGGGGGCGACGUCCAAAACUGGCGGACUAGAGUGCAGGAGAGGAAAGUAGAAUUCCCAGUGUAGCGGUGAAAUGCGUAGAUAUUGGGAGGAAUACCGGUGGCGAAGGCGGCUUUCUGGACUGUAACUGACGCUGAGGCGCGAAAGCUGGGGGAGCGAACAGG